GAUGAACGCUGGCGGCGUGCCUAAUACAUGCAAGUCGAGCGAAUGGAUUAAGAGCUUGCUCUUAUGAAGUUAGCGGCGGACGGGUGAGUAACACGUGGGUCACGUGCCCAUAAGACUGGGAUAACUCCGGGAAACCGGGGCUAAUACCGGAUAACAUUUUGAACCGCAUGGUUCGAAAUUGAAAGGCGGCUUCGGCUGUCACUUAUGGAUGGACUCGCGUCGCAUUAGCUAGUUGGUGAGGUAACGUCUCACCAAGGCAACGAUGCGGAGCCGAACUGAGAGGGUGAUCGGACAGACUGGGACGGAGGAACGGCCCAGAAUGCUACGGGAGGCAGCAGUAGGGAAUCUGCCGCAAUGGACGAAAGUCUGACGGAGCAACGCCGCGUGAGCGAUGAAGGCUUUCGGGUCGUAAAACUCUGUUGUUAGGGAAGAACAAGUGCUAGUUGAAUAAGCUGGCACCUUGACGGUACCUAACCAGAAAGCCACGGCUAACUACGUGCCAGCCGCCGCAGUAA
rnacentral:rRNA from 1 species